CCAAGGCGCUCCAAUUGCGACCCCAG
rnacentral:rRNA from 1 species